GCAGCCGGCCAUGGUGGCAACCGCCGAAGAAGAAGUUGUUACCGCUGUUGCCGCCUUAUUGUGUUACCAUCGCCGCUGUAUGCCACCAGGUGGGUGGCUGGGCUCCUUUACAAAUAGAAGAGUGUUUGUGUGUUGGUGAUACAUGACCGGAUUUCACAAGAGGGCCACCACCACUGUGAGGUAUUGGCUGCCACCAUGAACUACCACCGGCCACCACAAGGGUGGCUGAGUGUAUGUAUUAUUAGUGUGAGUGUAUAUUAUUAGUAUGUGUGUGUGUUUUAUUUGGAUUGAGUUGUAAAUUGUAAAAGGUGCCCGAAAUAAUAAUAGAAAAUCCAUAACCACCACCUGCCGCCUUGUCUGGUGGCGGUGUGCUUUCUCUUGCGGUGUUGAUUCGUUGGGAUGCUUUAAACCCUAAUGGCUUAAUGAAACUUUAGGGGGACUAAUGGACCCAAUAAAGCUCUAAUUGACCUAAUAAAACCCUAAACUCUCAUUUUGACCUAAUAUGGAUUCAAGACAUACAUUGGACAUGUAUCUAUAAAAACCACCAAUCUUUAGGUGGCGGUGUGCUUUGCCUUGUGUUAAUUCGUUGGCAUGCUUGAAACCCUAAUGGGCUUAAUGAAACCCUAGUGAGUCUAAUGGUCACAAUAAAGCUCUAAUUGACCUAAUAAAAACCUAAUGGACCCAACGAGGCCCAAAGUGACCUAAAAGCCCAACUGAUUGACUAAUGGGUUAGUAUUGGGUAAGAAACCCUAAUUUGGGUUUGGAAAACCCUAAUUGCAUAAAACCCUAAUUUUGGGGGUUGAUCGGGACACAUUUGUGAAUUAUUUAUCAAACUUAAAAUAUUAAAUAAUAAUAAUGGACUUAAUGGAUUAAGGGGCUGUUUGUUUGUCUCUUAAUUAAAAAAUUAAGAGGCAAUCUCUUAAAAAUUAAGAUGUAGGGUAUUUGAUAGCAUCUUAAUUUUUGCCUCUUAAAUUAAAAACUCCUCUUAAUUUCUCAGACAUGUGAUUGUAUCUGAACAAAUAAGAACACGUGUGUUUCCUGUUUUGCCCACAAUUGCAUUCUCUUCUAUUUCAGGGCACAACCUCUUUUUUCCCUCCCAACCAUCAAUGACGCCUCUCCUUUACUCUAAUCUGUUGCAGCUCCGAUCCCCUCUGUUGUCGCCGUCAUCAGCUUCACUUGUGGCGCCUUCGUCUUCGGCUCCAGCUGCAUUGCCAGCAUCUUCUGCAGGUUUGCCCUUGAUAUUUCAGCCCCACUUUCCCUCUUCUCUUUCAAUACACAUGACGUUUUGCUCACCCACUCCAUCUCCGGUCUGAACUAGUCGGCCGAUUCUUUCACCAGUGCCACCAUCACCACCGGAAGCAAAGCUCUCCUGGUCCCUCAUCGACAACACAGCUCUUGGUAAGUUUUUUUUCCCCGAAACUCGAUUAUUCUGGUUCAAUCCCAAUCCCAACAAGCAUUCAAGCACGAUGGUGAAAGUAAGCGGAUAGAUACCGAUUAAUUUUAUCCUUAAUUGGCGUUGCUUUCUCCAUUAAAAAAAAUUGGCUUGAUUUGUCAAUCCUACCCCUUAUGUUGUAGCCCAUUUUCAUUAAUGUGAUUGUUACUUGUUAGGUUAUAUUUCAGUUUUGAUCUGAUGUCGGUUUUAGAUUCAAAUAAAGUCAACAUUAUGGUUUUUGGAUUCAACUAAAGUCAAAGUUACAGCUUGGUGGUCGAUUUCCCCUUGGAGAUAUUGCCCCUGGUCAUGUUUUAUAUAGUUGGUUUUGGAGGUGGAUUUCAUAGUUGUUGCAUGUUGUGUGCUGCUGCAAAUUUUGUUGAAUUAAAAUAUUUCAUACUUGAAAUAUUCUUCUUAAGGGAUUGCAUAUCAUCUCAUCUGUCAAAGAAAUUGUUGUUGAUAGAGUUCUUCAACAGAAGUUAUGGUGGUGCAUAUUGGAACUCUGGUUAUGAUAAUGUUGGUGUGUGGUGAUAGAGUUCUUCCAGUUAUAACAUCAUGUAGUUAUGUGCAGGUCAUGUUUGUUACAGUUGUAUGUGUUUUCAUAUGUGUUGGAUUUUGUAGGGUGUUUAUAUUUGAAUUUUGUUUGGUGUUUAGAUUUUCUAUGGUGUUUAUAUAUUUUUUUAUAAUUAUUUAAGAAGUUGGUUAAAUUAUUUUAUAAAAUAGAAUUAUUGAAUUUAGCAAAAAAUAAUACAGAAGGGUAAAAUUGUCAUUUUCAUUAUUUAGCACAGUAAUUCAGAGGUUCCAACCAAACAACUUGUUAAAAAUUCAGAUCUUAAAAAUUCAGAUGCUCUUAUAAAUUCAGACCUCUUAUAAAUUCACUUAACCCUAAUCAUCAUUUCAUGUGAAAGCCCUAAUCUCACUCGGGCCUUGAAUUGGGCCAUCCUAUUGGGCUUUGGCGAUUGGGCUAUUGAUGGACCAUCCAAGAGCAAGUUAAUAGACCAAAGUAAUUAAAUGGGUUUUAGGACAAGGCCCAUGUGAGGACUUGGGCCCAAUUUGGAAGAUUGGGCCAUAUGUUGCGCUUUGGCCAAUAUUUGACUUUUGGAAUUUUGUAGUGUGAGUUGGACCUUGGACUUGGAACCAAUUAUUAAUUGGGUAUUGUUUGAUGUUGACAGUUCGGGAAGCUGUCAAUCAACAGCUGGAGUUUUAUCUGCGGGCUUCAGCAGUGCCAUGUGAGUUAUCCACACUAUACCAACAGGGUCUACGGCACCAAGGCCGACCCUUUAUGAUUUACAUCCUGGUUUAGGAUGGUUGCUAUGUUAAUGAUAUGCUAGGUUUCAUCCUAGUUUAGGAUGGUUGCUAUGUUAGAUUUCGGUUAGAUCGGAAUCCUGGUUAUAGGAUGUUGUUAUGCUAUUUGAUCUGUUAGAUCGGUUUGAGUGUUAUGAAUGGUAGCGUAUGAUAUUUAUAUGCACAUGUUUGUUUGAUUGGGGGUUGGGUUGAGGUGGUCCUGCUGUGUGCUGUAGGCUAACAUACCUAGGGGGUCCGAAUAGACUACAGACCCAGGAGGGUAUUUCAGUUAGACCGAAGGCCCAGCGAGUGGUCCGGACAAGCUGUAGGCCCUACAAGGCGGUCCAUACAUGUCGAAGGCUCGGGAGCGGUCCAGAUAGGUUGUAGGCCCUAGUGAGGGUGGUCCAGUCAGGCUGAAGGCUCACUAUGCAUGUUGUUUCGUUAUAUGAUAUAACGAGCGGUCCGGAUAGGAUGAAGGCCCCGAGGAGGGCAGCCAGACGUGUCGAGGGCUCGGGGAGCAGUCCAGAUAGACUGAGGACCGGGAUUCGGUCCAGUCAGACUGAUGGCUCAUUAUGCAUGUUGUUUGCUUAUAUGUUUAUAUGAUAUGGUAAUAUUUGUAUGGCAUUGGUAUUUUGGGGGUAACUCACUAAGCCUUCAAGCUUACAUUUAUCGAUUAUUGUUUCAGGUUUUCUGAUGAUCGCGGGAAGGCAAAGGCGUGAUCGUGCACCUCCUUACAUUUUCAUGAUUGAUUCUGGGGAUACUCUGAUGUUUAAAUUAUUUUGAAAGUAAACUGUAAUAACUUAAUAGUUUUAAAUGUUUUAAAAAGUUUUAAAUUGGCUUGAAUCUUUGGGAUGUUACAAGUUGGUAUCAGAGCCUUGGUUUGAGUGAAUUGGAGGAACACUCGUGCAACUCCAGUCUCAAAUCAAGGAAAGGAUUUUUAAAAAGGUUUUCAAAAUAAGUAAAGGAGGAUGCGAGGUGUACGAUCAGCCGAAGCCAGUAAGUAGAACCCAAAAUACCAUACAAGUUAUUUGAUAUUAUGCGAUAUGUUAGAACAACAUGCUAAUAAUAAGAUAAGGAUCCUCAGGAGCCGUAUGAUAGAAUUGCUUGAUCUUUGAUGCCUUAUCUUAUGUAUAGUACCUCAUUAAUUGUUGUAUCACUCUUUUGUGUGUGAAUUAACUAUUGGGUGGAUAUUCCAAGUCACAUGCUACAUGGGUUAAAUGAUCUUAGGGUAAGGGAUUUGGAUGUAUUGCGCAUCUCUUGUCUGAGUCCAACCGUUGUGGGAUUAAAUCCUUUAGCCUAAGAUUGUUUAAGUCAUACGGUAUGUGAUUGUAUUCAUGCAAUAGUUAACUGGCACCAAUGGAGGUUCGCAUGGCAGUUGGUGGAUGGGUGGGUAAUGAGAGGUCGGGAGGCCAGUUAUGAGAUAUUUAGCAUUCCUCUAGGAGUGGGGAUUGAGCGCUCGCUAUGUUAUGUAUAUGGUUAGGAUGUUGUGGUGAUACUUGAGACAAAUAUGGGUAAGUGUGGAAGGUAGUAUGGGCCCGUACUACUGAAAGCAUAGGACCCAUACGCGUAGCAAGGAAGUCACAACCCCUAGGGUUGGGUAGGGAGUUGGUCCUCUGUCAUAUUAUGGAUUAUCAGAGAUCUUUAUGGGAUCUUACCAGAAUGGUGGUUACGAUACGUCUUGAGACCGGAUCCAGAUUACGAUUGGGAGCUGGCAGCCAAGAUAGACCAACAUUGUCAGGGGACCGUGUCAGUGAGAUCAUCCGAGAGGAGGUGAUCGAGUUUGUCUGGGGACAGUUACCGGAGAUGAUUGGGUAUAUUAAGACCGCCAUGGUUGAGUAUUUCGACGAGCGCUAUGCAAUUAUUGCCGAGACGGUUGCCGCGAUGGCUAUAGCAGCUGUAACGACGACAGCGGGACGAGCUGGUUGUGCUUUCCAUUAUCGAGACUUGUUACUGGGGCAUUUUAUGAAGAGCAGAGGACUGCAAUUACUUGGGAUCAGGGUGGUGUUAUAUACUUGUUACAUUCAGCAGGUUAAGCGGGAGAGUCUAUCACAUGCGUUCUAGAUUCGAGGCUUCGGGGGUUUGGCUCAAGGCCGGAAUGUGAUUCGCAGGGACUCCGAAAAGGAGUAAUGCUUAUGUUCAGCUGGAGUUAUGCAGCUAGAAUUAGAAUGGUUAAUUGAUAGGAUUGGAAUGUUGUUUUCUAGGGUGAGGAAUGUGCCCUUUCAGUUUACGAGCUUGAAGGAUCGAGCAGGCUUGUGACCCCAGGAUCAAGUUGUAUUCUAGUUCGGGGUUAGUUGGUCGUUGGGAUUGGCGACAGUAGUUGAGCGCUGGUAAGCACGGGUGGAUCGAUGUGGCAUAAGUAUUUUGGAGGUCCAUUUCGCCUUGGAUCUCUUGUAUCAGACGCUAAGGAUCGAUUGUGCGAUCUAUUGCACUUUCAGGAUUGUAGAUUAUGUCAUGGGAGUAGUUUGUAUCCGGUUUAGGGCAGAGGUUGUUUCAGCUACUGCAGUUCAGCUGUGGAUGAUCGAGCUGGUAAGUGAGUCAGGGUGGGAGACCCUGAAUGAUAUGAUUUCUAGAGCCGAGAGCGGGAGAUUUGUUGGAGCAUUUUGGGAAAAAGGGUACUAUGUGGGAGGUAUGCGGACAGGGUCCCACAGGAUGGUUAUUCAACAUUGUCAGGAUUCAGUGGUUUUAUUAACCGUUAAUGAUUGGCGGAGGAAAGCGCCAAGGGAAGUAACUCAUUGUUGAGACAUUAGUUGGAGCAUCUACCUUUGGACUUCAGGAUUUGGGAGUGGGAUCAUUCGAGCAUUAGGGACUGUUAGUUUCCCGGGAAUUCAGAAAGGGUUCAUCUAGUUAUCAAAAGCAUGUGAUCAUUUGGGACUGGUUGGUAAUGGAGCACUAGUUGGAAAGAGUUGGUUGUCAUUAGAUCGAUCGUUGGAAAGUGAGAAGGAUUGGAAAUUCUACAAUUUUCAUGUAUUGUGAGGACUUAGUCGAAUCUAAGUAGGGGAGAAUCAUCCCGGAAUGCAGAAGCAGGAUUGGUUUUGAAAUUAGGAUGAGUUUCACAUCGUUUUCAGGAAGGAAGACAACCCUGGUGGCUGCUUGGUUGAGUGUGGCGUGAUUUGGGAGUUCGGUAAAACUCCCCUACAUGUGAAUCGCAUCUUCUUGGUUGGAAAAUCAGGAUGGGAUUCUAGCCAUGAAUUAAGUUCAAUUGUGUGUGUUAGGUCGAGCGCGUGUUCGACUGGUAUGGGAAGUGUUGUAAGACUGCAGGGGAAGCCGUAGCAUUCACUAGCGAUCAAUUAGUAUGGGAAGUGUUGUAAGACUGUGGGGGUAGCCGUAGCAUUCACUAGCAGAAGAUAGUGUGAGAAGUGAUAUAAAUAUGUGGGUGUAGCCGCAGCAUUCGCUAGGUUGGUAAAUAGUAUGAGCGCUUUGCUAGGACGCGGAAGGAACAAUAGUACCCACCAGUUCGGGUGUAACAGUGAGGAUAUGGAAAUCCACGGAUUGGUUAUGGGUUUCCCAGAGGGAUUAGACCUGGUUAAGCUAGCGAUAAGACUGUAGGAACGCCACUACAGUUAAGAGAUCAAGGAAGCAAGGAAUUGCUUAAGGUCGUUUGUGAUACUAGUCUACCAUUGGUCAGACAACAUUCACUUUUAGCCUUGGGUUUGGCGACGUCAAGAUUUGACACAUGGAUCCGAUCGGUUGGAUCAAAAGGAUUGAUGGAGCCAUAAGUAGCGCUAUAGCUAGGGCAAUUAUCACUAGUUGAAGUUUCCUUCGGGAAUCGCAUGGAGCGACUGUAAGAUCACUCGUUGGUUCAACAACUGGGCAGGAUUUCAGUAUUCCAAGUAAGUUGAGACCAGGGGGUCUUAGUGGAUUUCUGAAGCAACCAGAGAGCAGCCUACUAUUACGGAGAGUUUCUGUGUUUAGGGCACUAUUGACGAAUUGGGUUUUCGGGAGUAUGAGAAGUAUCUGGAUGUUGGAACCACCAAUUAUCAGAAAUUGAAUAGUUAGUUGAGAGAUAAGUGGACUGGGUUCAACAAUAACGAAUUGGUUUAAGCAGGUCUAUCCGGGAGUCAGGUCAUCUUGAGACUGCAUAUUUCAGUUUGGGUAAUGUGAUCCUAAUGCGGGGAAAUUCGCUCAUAUUCGGGUUUUAAAAACCUGUUCGAGUUGGUUUUGAUCGCCUUGGGAAGGCUGGGAUUAUGCACAGGAUUGUGACCACGUAGUUCAAGUUGGUUGGCGUGUAAGGAAUGAUAAGAAACGAUUUCGAGGAUGAAAUCAAACUUAAGUGGGGGAGAGUUGUAACAUCUCAUCUCUAAAUAUCAUUAAAAGAGAACCCUUAAUUCACCAAUGAAACAAUCAGGGCCAUUGAUUGUAUUUCAAUCAUAUGUUUUCUACCAUUAGAUCAAGUUGAUGACAUCAUCUUUCCCAAAUAGAAUUCAAAAACAAUUAUAUUUAAUAAAAUAAUCUUUAAAUUCAACAAUUAUAUUAUCAAUUGAAUAUAUAGAAGAUAUCAAUUUCUAUAAUUAAUAUUGUUUCUAAAUUAACUUCCUUAUUUAUAGCUUUUGGCUUCAAAAUUUAAAUCCGUUUUUUUAAAAAACUCUUUAAAUAAGCAUAUCAUUAAUUUGGUUAUUAACCUAUAAAUCUAAUCUAAUCCAAUUAAAUAUGCAAAAUAUUUGAGAGUCAAACUUAAAGUUACUAUCAUUCAUAAUUUAUCUCAAAAAAUAUCCCACAUAAAAUGAAUCGAUUUGAGAUAAUGAUUUGAAUUUUAAAACUCAUAAAAUAAGCAAGUCAAUUAGUUUGUAAAUUUGAAUCAAUAUAAUUGAUUUCUUUCUUUUUUUUCUUGAUUAAUAGCUGGAAAUCUCCAAGAUGAUAUCUUAGGAUCCCAUUUUUUUAGAAGAUAAUUAUUUGAUUAUUCAAAAACACCAUAUAUAUAUGAUUACAUUGAAGUUGUUAUUCUUACGAUUUUGGAUUGAGUCGUACAACUUACAGUGUUUUUCUUUAGCAAUUUUCUUCUUCAAUUGUUUUUUCUAGGUUCUUUCUUUACUUUGUUCUUCUUCUCAUUUUCUAAUUUCUUGCAUUUACUCUCUCUUCUUAUUACAUGUUAUUAAUGUAUUCCUGCUGAGAGGUCAUGAAAAAAAUUAUUCAAUUUACUUUAAGCAUAUUAGUUUCAUUCAUAUUUAAAUAUUAUUACAAGAGAACCUUUAAUUCACCAAUGAAGCAAUCAGGACCCUUGAUUGUACUUUAAUAAUAUGUUUUCCACCCUUGGAUCAAAUUGUUGACAUCAUUUUCCCAAAUAAAAAUCAAACACUAUUACAUUUAAUUAUAGAAUCUUUAAAUUCAGCAAUUAUGUUAUCAAUUGAAGCAUAUCAUUCUAUUUAUAUACGAGAUAUCAUAUUUUAUAAUUAAUAUUGUUUCUAAUUUAACUCCCUUAUUUAUAGCUUUUGGCUUCAAAAUUCAAAACUGUUUUUUUUUUUAAAAAACUCAUUAAAUGUGCAUAUCAAUAAUUCGGUUAUUAACCCACAAAAUAUAAUCUAAUCCCAUUAAAUUAGCAAAAUAUUUGUGAGUCAAAAAAUUAAAGUCAAUAUUAUUCAUAAUUUAUUUCCUAGAUAUCCUACGUAAAAUGAAUCAAUUUGUGAUAACGGUUUGAAUUUUAAAACUCAUUAAAUAAGCAAGUUAAUUAAUUUGAAAUUUUGAAUCAAUAUAACUGAUAUCUUUUUUUUCCAAAUGAAUAGCCGAAAAUCUCCAAGUUGAUAUCUUAGGAUCCCACUUUUUGGAAGAUAAUGAUUUCCUUAUUCAAAAAUAANGAGAUGUCAUAAAAAAAUUAAUCAAUCUACUAGAGGAAAGAUACAUGCUAACAUUUUGAAUUUGUAUUGCCCUCCAGAAACCAACUGUAGUCUCAUAGACCAUUCCCACAUAUCUUAAUAGGUCUUAGCAUUCCCCCAAAUUCAGGUACAAGAAGUCAUGGAUGCACUUCUUGAAUCAAUCCUCUAAACUGAAAUUCAUUUGUUAGUUAGAUACAGUGACCAAAAUGCAAGAUUUGUGGAAGUUCAUUAUUAUUUAUUAGUGUUAACCUUUGGCAAAUUAUAAAACUAAUAUUAUAUUUUUGUUCAUAACAAACCUUUUUUUUGUAAUAAUUUCUUUGAUUGGAAGAUAUGUAUAUCUGAUUAGGUGUAGCCUGAAAAAUCUUAUUUUAAUUCUUAUAAGGAAAAAAUACUUUAGAAAUUGACCAAAUUACAAUGUAUGGGUUUGAUGUUUAUGGCUAUGGCAAUGCACUUUAAUUGUAAUGUUUAUCAAAUUUCUUUAUAGAAUUUAACGUUGCUGGUACAUGUAACAACUUAUUAUUGCUUUUGGUUUUACAUGACCAAUAUGAAAAGUGUCAUAUGAGCCUCCAUGGGGGUUUGUAUACCGAACAAAGUCAAUUCAUAAAACUACUACACAACAUGUUUUAACCAAUGGGUUGCAUCAUGUUGUGAUAAAACAAAUAUCACGUGGAUCAUUUAUGUUAAAAACUACUGUAUUAAAACACCAAAUUGCUCUAAUAUAAAUAUUAAAUGUUUUAAUUUAAUAAGUUUGGUUCAAAAACUCAAAAUGAAUCUAACUAACAUUUUUUUAUUAAAAUUUCACCUAAAACAAUAUCAUCUAUUAAUGUGAUGUGUAUUUAAUUUAUAUUCUCCGCGUUUAACGCGGGACAUAAUCUAGUUUAAAAUAUAAUAAUGAAAUAAUAAAUCUGGACCCCAAGAAGUUAUUUUUAUUAUUUUAUAUUAUUGUAGUCCAAAAUCAAAUAAUAAUUAACAGAGUGUUGGUUUCGGGAAGCCAAAUGAAAAGAUUUGAGUCCCAAAGGGGGGGGGGGGAAAGUAUAGUUUCGGGAUAUAUUUUGCAAUGGAUUUUAGAAUUCAGGGGGUGUUUGGUAUCAUUUGGACUUAUAUUGAAUAGAUUCUUGGGGGGCAGGGACAAGAUGGUAAGUUCUGGACCUAACUUCAAAAGUGAUUUGUAUAGGAAUGGCCAUUUGGUAACAAUUCGAUCAAAUUUGAAGGAAAAACAAGAUGGAGGGACUAGUUUCGUCGUUAUGGGAAAAUGUUAUAAGGGAGUCAGGGUAUAAAACCUGUUACCCUCUCAAAUCCUAACCCUAAAUCUAGGGAUGAGCAAAAGGACCGAACCGGCCGGAACCGGACCGGUACCGGGAACUGGCUUCGGCCAAAAUCAAGAACCGAACCGGCUCGGCGGUUCUACCGGUUCCGGUUCCACCGGUUCCCGGUUCCUACCGGUUCUUGUCGUGUCUUCAAAUGUUGGAACCGGCACUCGAAAAAUAGCAUCAUAUGGUUCCGGUUUUUACCGGUUCUACCUGUUUUUGCCGGUUCUACCGGUUCCGGUUAUAUCGGUUCCGGUUCCAAAAAUCAACAAAAAUAACGUCCCGGUCCCGGCCCGACCGGUUCCAUCGGGUUCCGGUUCCGGUUCCGGUACCGGUUCCGACCGGUUCCCCGGUCCAUAUGCUCAUCCCUACCUAAAUCGGUUACGAUGCAGCCGUCACCACCCUCUCCACCCUUGUCCCUCCAGCCGCCAUUACCCUCUUCUUCCUCCUUCUCCAACUCCGGCGCCGCAACACUACCCAUUACUCUUGUGUUUCCGACCAACAAAGCCAACUGGUGUCGCCCAUCGAAGCCAACCAUUAAUGCAGCCACAACAGUGACGAAGAGUCUUAUGACAUCCCCAAAAUCACGGCUAGAAAAGACCGAUUUUGUUUAUGCUUUGUUUAAAAAUCAGAGUAGCAUUUUAAAUAAAAGUGUUGCGGAAUUUGUCCCAAAACAAAAUAUGAUAAAGAUUUAUCAAAAGCAUUUCCAAAGAAAUGUAUUUCUUUAAAAGACUUGAGAUGUCAUGUUCGAUACAGAUCAAAAGCAUAAACAGUACAAUAUAAGCCUUACUGCAUUAUUUCAUAUCUACAGGCCUAUAUCCGUAAUCCCUCAUCCAAAACAUCACAUCUAUGCUCAUGCGCCACUACCUGUAAUACAAGAAAUUGAGUGGGUCAGGCUUGGGAGCCUGGUGAGCACAUAGGGUUUUCAACCCACAAUAAAUAAGUUAUUUAAUUUCAUCAAUCAACAAUAAACCGAUUACCUAUUCCCGUUAUCCUCACUUUACGUCUCUAAACACCUAUCAUAAGGGACCUAGCCUAAGGAUCAUCAUCGGGAUGGACACUACUGCUAAGGGGGUUCCUCAGCAAUGAAUGUCCUAAAGGCAACCAUGUGGGGGAUGGAGUACACCGGUGAACACAUCGUUCACAAACACCUACAGGUUGCGAGCCUGCUAGCGUUCCACUGGACUGUCUAGAAGAGUCUGUGGUCGUCAUCCAUACUCCGCUAGAUGACAGAAUCAACAACAUCAACAUCGAGGCCUCUCAUCAUUUUAUCACACAUCGUCUUAUUACAUCUACUCAUGUUUUACCCCAACAUCUUUGUAGAUAUAAAAUACAUAUACAGUUUAAAUCAUUUAAAACUUGUAUAAAAACGUUCAUCCAUCAUAGAUAGCAAGUAUUAAGAUAAUAUGCACACAUAGCACGUAAUUUCUAUAAAAUACUUCAUAUCUAUGUGUAAGCUGAAAGUAACUAUGCACUCACCUGAAAAGGUGGUGAUUCUACACUCGGACAUCGCUUCGAUACUCUUAAAACAAUUUUCCUUCGAUAAAACCUAGUAUCAAUACCACUAGGGUUUAGUCUAACGAUAACCGCAACUAUUUAAUAGUCUGACUAUUAUUACUAUUAUAUAAGCGUUAAAUAACACUCAAUAUAACUCAUAAUAAUAGCCCAAAUAAUUAUUCUAAGGACCUAAUAACAUUAUUAUAAUUAUUUGAAAGCUAUAUUAAAAAUUGCGUAAGUGUAGCUCACUUACAGCGUAUUUUAAAGAAAACGGAGCAGCGUUUCCAAAACCGAAUGACCCUUUUUCUCGGGACUCCGGGAGCCUCGGGGCUUCCUUAGGGUGCUAGAGGGUUUACCUAGGGUUUAGGGGGGNCUACGGGGUUUACCUAGGGUUUUUAAGGGGUUAGGAGGGCAGUGAGAGAAAGUAGAGAGAGAAAGGAAUGAAGAAUUUGUGAGAAAUUAAGGCAGCCCUCACAGCCCUUUUAUAGCUGCGAGCCUUCGCAUUACGCACAACGUUCAGCUGCUUACGCGGGACGUAGUCCUCGGAUAAGGUUGCCACCUCGGACCAGCUGUCUCGCACACCGGAUGGAUAAGACUCGUAGGUACGUUGGGCGUACCGGAUCUCGUACGCAGGGGGUAGGGCGAAGAGACGUGUCAAGAUCCGAAGCAAAGCCUUGGUCAACAAGCAACGGCUCAGAUGCGGCCACGUCAUCCACCUCCUCGCAGAUUUCACAAUUUUCCUUUCUGACUUCUAAAAAUCAUAACUUUCGCAUACGAGCUCCGUUUUCGACGUUCUUUAUAUCCACGUGUAGGCGGGAACGUAAUCUACAACUUUUGUUUAGACUUUAUCGACUAAUUUUGAAUUAUUUUAAAAGUUAUAUUAUUAACAGACCGAGACACGAUUGGUCCGUUAAAAAUUCAUAACUCCUUCAUCCGACGUCCAUUUUCGUCUGUGUUUUUAUCGUUUGGCUACUAUUAACGAGAUCUUCAAUUCUCGUUUAGGUUGUGUCAGCUAAAAACCGCUCGAUCUAAUAUUUGAAUUUCAGACUGUACACUACUAAGCCGAAACUUCGAAAAAUCAUAACUUCUUCAUACGAAGUCAGAUUUGGGCGUUCUUUUUAUGGACUCUCUCGGUUUAAAGUAUUCUACGACUUUCGUUUAGAUCGUUAAGGCUAUAUCUCGCUCUAUCGUAAAUUCACUAUUUACUCUUCCCGGUAUCGUGUCGGUUCCGUCGCGAAACUUCGACGUUCAUAACUUCUUUGUUAUAACUCGGAUUUCGGCGUUCUUUAUAUCCCCGGAAUCCUUGUUUCGACCACUACAACUUUAUGUAAAUAUAUCGGGCUUAUCUCACACUUUAAUUUUGGCGCUUAUUUUUAUCUUUUAUUAAUUAUACAUUUAUAAUUAAAUAAUAAACACAUAAAUACAUAUAAUUCACAUAAUACUCAAAUAUUUCAUUAUUUUUAUUUCAUAAAAAGUUACAAUAGUUGACCUAGACUAUUACAUUGUCAAAAAUGCUUAGCCCUGAAACCUGGGCGUUACAAGUCUCACGGGACGUCGGUUUUGUGGUCGCCUGACCGUUGAGUGUCGCUGAUGUCGUCGAGGUCAACCCUUCUCCAUCUCCUUCUUUCUGUCACCGUCCGUAUCCAUUUGUGACGUCUUCGGUGCUGUUCCAGCGGCCCCUGUCGAUGACUCCAUUCCACAGUAGGUGAUUGUCGUCGCUGCGCCGAACCACCACCGAUCGUAGCGCCGUUGUUGCUGCCAUUGCUGAUUGUUCUAAUGCGAUGGAAGUAGAGUUCGUGGUUUACGAUGCAUAUGUUCAUGGGAGUGGGUUUUUUGUUGAGUAAAAAGCCAUGAAGAACCACCAUGGCAGUCGGCCAUGGUGGCAGCCGCCGAAGAAAAAGUUGUUACCGUUGCUGCCGCCUUAUUGUGUCACCAUCGUUGUUGUAUGCCACCAGGUGGGUGGCUGGGCUUGUUUACAAAUAGAAGAGUGUUUGUGUGUGGGUGAUACAUGACCGGAUUUCACAAGAGGGCCACCACCACCAUUGUGAAGUGGUGGCUGCCACCAUGAACCACCACCGGCCACCACAAGGGUGGCUGUGUGUAUGUAUUAUUAGUGUGAGUGUGUAUUAUUAGUAUGUUUGUGUUUUAUUUGGAUUGAGUUGUAAAUUGUAAAAGGUGCCCGAAAUAAUAAUAGAAAAUCCAUAACCACCACCGGCC
rnacentral:lncRNA from 1 species